rnacentral:rRNA from 1 species
AGAGUUUGAUCAUGGCUCAGGAUGAACGCUGGCUACAGGCUUAACACAUGCAAGUCGAGGGGCAGCAUGAACUUAGCUUGCUAAGUUUGAUGGCGACCGGCGCACGGGUGAGUAACACGUAUCCAACCUGCCGAUGACUCGGGGAUAGCCUUUCGAAAGAAGGAUUAAUACCCGAUGGCAUAGUUCUUCCGCAUGGUAGAACUAUUAAAGAAUUUCGGUCAUCGAUGGGAUGCGUUCCAUUAGGUUGUUGGCGGGUAACGGCCCACCAAGCCUUCGAUGGAUAGGGGUUCUGAGAGGAAGGUCCCCACAUUGGAACUGAGACACGGUCCAACUCCUACGGAGGCAGCA